rnacentral:rRNA from 1 species
GUCCAGGGCCUUACCAUCCAGAACAUGCCCGAUCUCAUCUGAUCUCAGAAGCUAAACAGAGUCUGGUCUGGUUAGUCCUUGGAUGGGAGAUAUUGGUACAUGAUGACAAAAAAGGACCUAGAUU